rnacentral:rRNA from 1 species
ACGGGGUGCAGCAGGCGCGAAAACUUUGCAAUGUGCGAAAGCACGACAAGGUUAAUCCGAGUGAUUUGUGCUAAACGAAUCUUUUGUUAGUCCUAGAACCACUAACGAAUAAGGGGUGGGCAAGUUCUGGUGUCAGCCGCCGCGGUAAAACCAGCACCUCAAGUGGUCAGGAUGAUUAUUGGGCCUAAAGCAUCCGUAGCCGGCUCUGUAAGUUUUCGGUUAAAUCUGUACGCUUAACGUACAGGCUGCCGGGAAUACUGCAGAGCUAGGGAGUGGGAGAGGUAGACGGUACUCGGUAGGAAGGGGUAAAAUCCUUUGAUCUAUUGAUGACCACCUGUGGCGAAGGCGGUCUACCAGAACACGUCCGACGGUGAGGGAUGAAAGCUGGGGGAGCAAACCGGAUUAGAUACCCGGGUAGUCCCAGCUGUAAACUAUGCAAACUCAGUGAUGCAUUGACUUGUGGUCAAUGCAGUGCUGCAGGGAAGCCGUUAAGUUUGCCGCCUGGGAAGUACGUACGCAAGUAUGAAACUUAAAGGAAUUGGCGGGGGAGCAC